AGCAGCCGCGGUAAUUCCAGCUCCAAUAGCGUAUAUUAAAGUUGUUGCAGUUAAAAAGCUCGUAGUUGAAUUUCGGGGUCUGUCCAUCGGUCGGGCUUUUUCGGUCCGCACUGUUGCGAUGGAUUCCUACCUUCUGAAUAACCGAUUUGCCAUUAAUUUGGUGGGUCGGGGAAGCAGGACUGUUACCUUGAAAAAAUUAGAGUGCUCAAAGCAGGCUAGUGCCUGAAUACAUUAGCAUGGAAUAAUAAAAUAGGACGGCAUGGUUCUAUUUUGUUGGUUUCUAGGAUCACCGUAAUGAUUAAUAGGGAUAGUUGGGGGCAUUAGUAUUCAAUUGUCAGAGGUGAAAUUCUUGGAUUUAUUGAAGACUAACUACUGCGAAAGCAUUUGCCAAGGAUGUUUUCAUUAAUCAAGAACGAAAGUUAGGGGAUCGAAGACGAUCAGAUACCGUCG
rnacentral:rRNA from 1 species